rnacentral:tRNA from 1 species
GGCUUUGUAGCUCAGUGGUAGAGCACUCGUCCGGCAAGCGAGAUACAUGAGGUUCGAUUCCUAGUCUGGGCCU